GCAUUAGUCGUUGCCCCGGUAGCUCAGAGGUAGAGCUCCUGCAUAUAGUGAGCGAAAGCGCCUAGCAACAACUAGAAGGUGGUCGCAGGUUCGAAUCCUGCCCGGUGGCUAAGC
rnacentral:tRNA from 1 species